UCGGGAAUUUUGGGCAAUGGGCGAAAGCCUGACCCAGCAACGCCGCGUGAAGGAUGAAGUCUCUCGGGAUGUAAACUUCGUAAGAAUAGGAAGAAUAAAUGACGGUACUAUUUGUAAGGUCCGGCUAACUACGUGCCAGCAGCCGCGGUAAUACGUAGGGACCAAGCGUUGUUCGGAUUUACUGGGCGUAAAGGGCGCGUAGGCGGCGUGGUAAGUCACUUGUGAAAUCUCCGAGCUUAACUCGGAACGGUCAAGUGAUACUGCUGUGCUAGAGUACAGAAGGGGCAAUCGGAAUUCUUGGUGUAGCGGUGAAAUGCGUAGAUAUCAAGAGGAACACCUGAGGUGAAGACGGGUUGCUGGGCUGAUACUGACGCUGAGGCGCGAAAGCUAGGGUAGCAAACGGG
rnacentral:rRNA from 1 species